rnacentral:tRNA from 1 species
GGGAUUGUAGCUCAGUGGUAGAGCACUUACCUCACACGUGUGAGGCCUUGGGUUUAAUCCUCAGCACCA